GACAGAGGGUGCAAACGUUGUUCGGAAUUACUGGGCGUAAAGCGCGUGUAGGCGGCCAUCUAAGUCGGGCGUGAAAUCCCACGGCUCAACCGUGGAAGUGCACUCGAAACUGGAUGGCUAGAGUCCUGGAGAGGAAGGUGGAAUGCUUGGUGUAGAGGUGAAAUUCGUAGAUAUCAAGCGGAACACCGGUGGCGAAGGCGGCCUACUGGAC
rnacentral:rRNA from 1 species